rnacentral:rRNA from 1 species
AUUGAACGCUGGCGGAAUGCUUUACACAUGCAAGUCGAACGGCAGCACGGACUUCGGUCUGGUGGCGAGUGGCGAACGGGUGAGUAAUGUAUCGGAACGUGCCCAGUCGUGGGGGAUAACGUAGUGAAAAUUACGCUAAUACCGCAUACGAUCUAUGGAUGAAGGCGGGGGAUCGCAAGACCUCGCGCGAUUGGAGCGGCCGAUAUCAGAUUAGGUAGUUGGUGGGGUAAAGGCCCACCAAGCCAACGAUCUGUAGCUGGUCUGAGAGGACGACCAGCCACACUGGAACUGAGACACGGUCCAGACUCCUACGGGAGGCAGCAGUGGGGAAUUUUGGACAAUGGGCGAAAGCCUGAUCCAGCCAUUCCGCGUGCAGGAUGAAGGCCCUCGGGUUGUAAACUGCUUUUGUACAGAACGAAAAGGUUUCUACUAAUACUAGGAGCUCAUGACGGUACUGUAAGAAUAAGCGCCGGCUAACUACGUGCCAGCAGCCGCGGUAA